GUGAAUCAUCGAAUUUUUGAACGCAAAUUGCACUUUCUGGUAUUCCGGAAAGUAUGCCUGUUUGAGGGUCAGUUAAAUAAAAAUCGGUGUUGUUGCUGCCUUUGGUUGUGACGCGUCGGAAUUGGGUCGUCUUAUAUUCGGUUAAGUGACUUAAAAUUUUUUCUUGGUUUUCGAACGUAUUUAAAUCGUUUACGUAUGUUUGAGAUAUCGAAUGCUUCUUAGGUUCGGUCAUUCCCAUGAUUCGCGCCUAGAAUUUUUCAUUA
rnacentral:misc_RNA from 1 species